AGCGCUGCUGGCGCUAUACAAAGAAAAGCCGUUAGAAUAAGGUUAACGGCCUACGGUUUCGUAACGCCGCUGCAAUAAAGGGACGGGGCAUAUAGUAUGUAUCUAUUUCAAAUAGUAUAUGUCCUAAAGGGUAGAAGAUAUUGCGACGCCUGUACCGCUUGGCGAUGAAAUAGCGGACGAAUUAGCAAUAACGGGUAUGGUUGAAUCGCCGGAGUUAGAUUCCGGAUAGCUGCGAAAGUGGCGGGAUUAUAUAGAAUAUCAGCAAUGAUAUAUAAGUAGGGCAUGGAUUUAGACACUUAUUAAUAUAUACGAUAGUAAAAUAUCGGCUUUAAAUA
rnacentral:sRNA from 12 species